ACAUCCAAUAUAAAAUACUUAUGAGGGCGCAGAACGAAAAACAUUUUCAUCCGUGUUUUGACACUUCGUUUUUUUGCCAAAUUCAGAUAUGGCGGACACUUAAUGAUAUAAUCUCUUGGCGGCACGCGCUAGAGCCAUCUAUCGGUAGGUCCGGUAGUUGAGCAUCCCUCAUUUCGCUAGUUUUAGACGCCUGUGUCGCUUAUUAAAAGAUUAUUGUGUGGUGUACAGUUAGAAAAUCAAGAUGUGAGUGAUCUAGUAAGUGUCUCUUGACCAUUGACUCCGCUUUUUUCUUUUUCUUAUUAAACGUAGUUAGGUUUAAUAUUUGCGUGGUAAUAUGAGUGAGCAAAAUGUACAAGUGCGGCAAAAAAAUACUCUGCGGUUAACAAGUCGAUUUACAGGGGAAAGAAAAAUGGUUUGUAUUCGUGUUUGUGACAUGCAGCGGAUGCUGCCUUAAUACAGUGCGACGUUAAAGACUUACGACGUACAAUGACUGGAACAGCUAGAAAAUUUGAGGGAGCCAUCUGGAGGUGGCAUUGAGGCAGCAACAACAUACAUCACAACCUGUCCGUGAUGCGUCUGGCACCAUCACCACAUACAGUUAAAUUGUUGGCUACCCUCACCACAUGUGGGGGUAUCAGCGACUCCGUAGCAGCAUCCGGGCCCAUCGUGGAUGCCGUCCAUGUGUGCUGGACCAUCACCGGUGCAUUGGUCAUACAAUUUUGAUGCAAAAGUGAACCUGUAAACAUGAUAAAAUGUGGACGUCUCUGGAGAAACCUCAGUGUGUGGGGCCCAUUAGAUACAGACGAUACCUGAUACCCAAAUGCAACGAACCUUUCAGACUUGGGAUACAUCAUUUAUGGAAACAGGAGUUCCUGUUACAUAUACAGCACUUGACACUGCUUGUGAGAAAACAUUAUUAACCAGCACUGAUAGUCAACUUGGUCCCUAGCAUCCACUAGUGGGCGCCUCCACCUCCAUAGCAGCCAGUAGACAGUUGGACCCUAAAAUAUUUAUAUUAGGGUUUCACAAAACUUUGAAAAAAAUAUUUGGUCAUACAAUUUUGAUGCGAAAUGGAACCUGAAAACCUGCUAAAAUGUGGAUACCAGUGGAUAAAGCUCAAUGUGUGUGGCCUGGUAUAUACAGAUGAUAUCAGAUACCGAAGUGCAAUGAUCCUUUCGGACUUGGAAUACAUCAUUUAUGGAAACAGUGCUCACAAGACAUUUACAGUGGGGUGUGCAGUUGAGAACAGUUCUCCAUCUACCCCUCAGCGCGCACCAGAAUUAUUCAAAGUGGGGCACUCUGCCAAUUCUAAGAAGCAGGCCAAAGAUGUCCUGGUAAGCAGCACAUUGUCAAUGCUGCGAGACAAACAAACAGCAAUGAAUGGGAGCAAUGAGGAUGACAAGUUGGGCGAAUAUGUUGCAGCUGAGCUGAUAACAACUAAAAAUAGAAAAUUAAAUGCAGAGGCAAAGUGAAUGUUAUCAUGAAUGCCAUCAU